UAGAUACCCUGGUAGUCCUGGCCGUAAACGAUGAAUGCUAGGUGUAGGAGGUAUCGACCCCUCCUGUGCCGGAGUUAACGCAAUAAGCAUUCCGCCUGGGGAGUACGGUCGCAAGACUGAAACUCAAAGGAAUUGACGGGGGCCCGCACAAGCGGUGGAGUAUGUGGUUUAAUUCGACGCAACGCGAAGAACCUUACCAGGGCUUGACAUUGAGUGAAAGGGCUGGAGACAGCCCCCUCUUCGGGGACAC
rnacentral:rRNA from 1 species